CUUUGAGAUUCUACAGCCUGAUGACAUUUGCAAUUCAUGUGAACAAAUAGGACCACAAGAUUGAAAUCCAAAAUUGUCUUUACAGGUUGGAAAAAUUGUCUGGAAAAAAUGAAGUCCAAUUCAAUAAGCCUAAAUGUGAAAUUCUAGCCCUGAGAAGGAACAAUCAGCUGUGUGAUACAGGAGAGUGGAUGAGUGGCAGCAGCCAGUGAAGGAGAAUAAGGUCCAUCGCAGGCACCCAAGGAAUAUUUGUCAGGAAUUCACACUGCUCUGUAAAAGGAAACUACUUUGCAGAAAUGGGAAUGCACCAGGUUGUAAUGUCACAGCCAGAACACCGUGCCUGUACAGAUGGCAGGUCCAAGAGAGGCGGUGUGAGCAGGUUCUGCAAUGGAUUAGAGAAGAUCUCUUCAAUCAUAUUUCCUGCUUCCUGGAGACUUGGUUCCAGAGGAGGAAACUGUUCUGAUGGUCUUUUUCCACAGAGGUCAUGAAAACUGCUGUGACAGGUUUUGGCAGCCUUGCUGGCUACAAAUUUUCUCGUAUAUCCACUGAUUCGAAUUCUUGGUGUGAAAUACUUCUAGAACUCUCCUGUCAUCAGCUGCCCUUCUUGAAGACCGUUUUUACUCCUCUGUGUAGUUUGAGAUCUGAUCUUCUUCAGUGCCUCCAGUUGCUCUGAUAAAAGCUACUGUGUCCUGCAGAUAUACAUACAGGUAAGGUCCAAGCUCUGGGAUUUCAGACUUUUUUGUUUCUCAAGACCUAGUGAAAAACUUUAUCCCACCAAGCACAUAUGUUUAUGUAGUUUGCCAGGAGAAUCUUCUGCUAGAUCAGUAAAAAGAUAAAAUAGAAUGUCAAAAUCUGUAACACGUCAUUAAUUACUAGUGUAGAAUUUGCAAAUCCAAAAUCAAAAAUUC
rnacentral:lncRNA from 1 species